ensembl:lncRNA
UCUGUACCGGUACCCCCUGUAUAUAGCCUCCACAUUGACUCUGUACUGGGGUUCCCAGUACAGAGUCAAUGUGGAGGCUAUAUACAGGGGGUACCAGUACAGAGUCAAUGUGGAGGCUAUAUACAGGGGGUUACCGGUACAGAGUCAAUGUGGAGGCUAUAUACAGGGGGUACUGGUACAGAGUCAAUGUGGAGGCUAUAUACAGGGGGUACCAGUACAGAGUCAAUGUGGAGGCUAUAUACAGGGGGUACCGGUACAGAGUCAUUGUGGAGACUAU